UGGGGAAUAUUGGGCAAUGGGGGAAACCCUGACCCAGCAACGCCGCGUGAAGGAAGAAGGCCUUCGGGUUGUAAACUUCUUUUACCAGGGACGAAGGAAGUGACGGUACCUGGAGAAAAGCAACGGCUAACUACGUGCCAGCAGCGCGGUAAUACGUAGGUUGCGAGCGUUGUCCGGAUUUACUGGGUGUAAAGGGCGUGUAGGCGGAGAAGCAAGUUGGGAGUGAAAUCUAUGGGCUCAACCCAUAAACUGCUCUCAAAACUGUUUCCCUUGAGUAUCGGAGAGGCAAGCGGAAUUCCUAGUGUAGCGGUGAAAUGCGUAGAUAUUAGGAGGAACACCAGUGGCGAAGGCGGCUUGCUGGACGACAACUGACGCUGAGGCGCGAAAGCGUGGGGAGCAAACAGGAUUAGAUACC
rnacentral:rRNA from 1 species